rnacentral:rRNA from 1 species
AUUGAACGCUGGCGGCAUGCUUUACACAUGCAAGUCGAACGGCAGCGGGGAGGAGCUUGCUUCUCUGCCGGCGAGUGGCGAACGGGUGAGUAAUACAUCGGAACGUGUCGAGAAGAGGGGGAUAACCACCCGAAAGGGCGGCUAAUACCGCAUAAAUUCUGAGGAAGAAAGCUGGGGACCUAGGAAUAGGCCUAGCGCUUUUUGAGCGGCCGAUGUCGGAUUAGCUAGUUGGUGAGGUAAAGGCUCACCAAGGCGAAGAUCUGUAGCGGGUCUGAGAGGAUGAUCCGCCACACUGGGACUGAGACACGGCCCAGACUCCUACGGGAGGCAGCAGUGGGGAAUUUUGGACAAUGGGGGCAACCCUGAUCCAGCCAUGCCGCGUGUAUGAAGAAGGCCUUAGGGUUGUAAAGUACUUUUGUUAGGGAAGAAAAGUCAGCUGUGAAUAAUGGCUGAUACUGACGGUACCUAAAGAAUAAGCACCGGCUAACUACGUG